UUGCCAGCCCGCUCAGAAACUUCAAGGAAUUGACGGGGCCCGCACAAGCGGAGGAGCAUGUGGUUUAAUUCGAUGAUACGCGAGGAACCUUACCUGGGCUCGAACGUAAGAUGACUGUAGGUGAAAGCUUACAUCUCUUCGGAGCAUUUUACGAGGUGCUGCAUGGUUGUCGUCAGCUCGUGCCGUGAGGUGUCGGGUUAAGUCCCAUAACGAGCGCAACCCCUACCUUUAGUUGCCAUCAGGUUAAGCUGGGGACUCUAAAGGAACUGCCUACGCAAGUAGUGAGGAAGGCGGGGAUGACGUCAAAUCAGCACGGCCCUUACGUCCAGGGCUACACACGUGCUACAAUGGCCGAUACAGAGGGCAGCUACCUGGUGACAGGAUGCAAAUCUCCAAAGUCGGUCUCAGUUCGGAUCGGAGUCUGCAACCCGACUCCGUGAAGUUGGAUUCGCUAGUAAUCGCGCAUCAGCCAUGGCGCGGUGAAUACGUUCCCGGGCCUU
rnacentral:rRNA from 1 species